rnacentral:rRNA from 1 species
GAUGAACGCUGGCGGCGUGCCUAAUACAUGCAAGUCGAGCGAAUGGAUUAAGAGCUUGCUCUUAUGAAGUUAGCGGCGGACGGGUGAGUAACACGUGGGUAACCUGCCCAUAAGACUGGGAUAACUCCGGGAAACCGGGGCUAAUACCGGAUAACAUUUUGAACCGCAUGGUUCGAAAUUGAAAGGCGGCUUCGGCUGUCACUUAUGGAUGGACCUGCGUCGCAUUAGCUAGUUGGUGAGGUAACGGCUCACCAAGGCAACGAUGCGUAGCCGACCUGGGGGGGUGAUCGGCCACGCUGGGACUGAGACACGGCCCAGACUCAUACGGGAGGCAGCAGUAGGGAAUCUUCCGCAAUGGACGAAAGUCUGACGGAGCAACGCCGCGUGAGUGAUGAAGGCUUUCGGGUCGUAAAACUCUGUUGUUAGGGAAGAACAAGUGCUAGUUGAAUAAGCUGGCACCUUGACGGUACCUAACCAGAAAGCCACGGCUAACUACGUGCCAGCCGCCGCCGUAA